AAUGUUCUUCGAGGCAAGGUGAAAUUCCUGACCGGCGGUGAAGUCCGCAACCCGCGAAAGCGGUGGAAUCCGAUAAUCGGUACCGAUAGUAUAGUCUAGAUGAUAGAAGAAUGAU
rnacentral:ncRNA from 2 species